AACGUCAUGCUCUUUGCUCUGCACCCCCCCCCCCCGCCCGCCCCCAAGAGUGUAACCACAGCUAAGCAGCCGCUUCUAAGAUUGUUAAACUCUGCAUAACAGCUACAAAAAUCCCGAGCAGUUUUCCCAGCCGGACGGACGCCCGACCGCCUUUCCAACUCCGCGGCACUAACAGUCCGCGCCGACUUCCAGAACCAGCCAGCUCCCGGCUCUUUCACAACCGAGCCGGGGCAGCCCGGGGACCCGCACUUCUGCCGGGCACCGCGGGCAAGGUCCCGGUUUAACCGAACCCACAGCGGCGGGGAGAGGACGAAGCGCAGGGCGCAGGUAUGGCCAAAUGCAGGCUGCAUCUUACUGUGAUUUUGGCUUAGAAAAAUAGAAACAUCAUCGUUCCAAGGGACAGGAUCAAGAGAUGGUGUGCCUGUCAAAGGAAUUAUUUUCCACAAGAUGAAUUUGCUGAUUACAUUUGAUUUGCCAGAAGAACACUAAGAAAAAUAAGUCAGUUUAUAACAUUACACAUUGAGGAACCUUCUGACUUUCUAGAACUAUAUUUUUUUCGCAAAGCUUAAUUCUAGCUUUCCUUUCUGAUUUACAGAACUAAAAGUUGCUUAAAGCAGUUUCCCAAGUAGCUAUCCUUCAACA